UACGUAGGAUGCAAGCGUUGUCCGGAUUUACUGGGCGUAAAGCGCGCGCAGGCGGCAGUGUAAGUAAGGUGUGAAAUCUCCCUGCUCAACGGGGAGGGUGCACUUUAGACUACACAGCUAGAGGUCGGUAGAGGGGGGUGGAAUUGCUGGUGUAGCGGUGAAAUGCGUAGAGAUCAGCAGGAACACCCGUGGCGAAGGCGGCCCCCUGGGCCGUACCUGACGCUGAGGCGCGAAGGCUAGGGGAGCGAACGGG
rnacentral:rRNA from 1 species